GUGCUUACUUCAGCUGCCCACAUAUUAAAAUUAGAACAAUGCUGAGAAGAUUAGCAUGUUUCCUGUGAUAGGAUGACAUGCAAACUUGUGAAAUGUUUUUUUAUGUU